GCCCACGUAGCUCAGUAGGUAGAGCACCACCAUGGUAAGGUGGGGGUCACCGGUUCGAGUCCGGUCUUGGGCUCCA
rnacentral:tRNA from 1 species